AAGUCGUAACAAGGUUUCCGUAGGUGAACCUGCGGAAGGAUCAUUAUAGAAAAUGACGUGAACUCUUAACGGAGUUCUCUCAAAGUGUUGGAGGGGAAGGCCUGCGCUUAAUUGCGCGGCUGUUUUUAAUCUCCUCCGCCUUUGAUACACACAUUGGAGUUUCUACUUUUUUGUUCUCUUUGGGAGGGUUCUACUCUCCCCAGAGGUAAACACAAACAAUCUUUUAUUAUACUAUUAACACAGUCAAAUGAAUUUUAAAAACAAAAUAUUCAAAACUUUCAACAACGGAUCUCUUGGUUCUCGCAUCGAUGAAGAACGCAGCGAACUGCGAUACGUAAUGUGAAUUGCAGAAUUCCGUGAAUCAUCGAAUCUUUGAACGCACAUUGCGCCCCUUGGUAUUCCGGGGGGCAUGCCUGUUUGAGCGUCAUUUCCCUCUCAAACUUUACGUUUGGUAGUGAGCGAUACUCUACUCUGGAGUUUGCUUGAAAAUGGGAGGCCAUAGGCGAAGCAUUGCUUUCCAAUCCUGCGGCCCUCUGCUUACUUCCCCUUGUGGGUUGUGGCAGGGGAAAGCGGGAGGCGCCUUGCCACGAUAGUCGUAUUAGGUUUUACCGACUCGGCGAAAGUGAAGAGGUUUGCUUUUUAGGAGCAGGCAGCGUCUGGCUUGACAAAAUUCUCAAAGUUUGACCUCAAAUCAGGUAGGAUUACCCGCUGAACUUAA
rnacentral:rRNA from 1 species